AAGGCGAAGCCAGGCGAGUGGUCCGAUUUGGGCUUCGCGAGGUAAACCUCUCACUGGCAGGGGGCGCUCAGGAGAGGCAGGAAAGAUGUCGCCCAUCUAGGAGAUCAUCUAGGACCUUCCAGACCAGCCAUCCACCUGACCCCACCCACAGGCCACAGAUGCUGAAUCUGCCCAGAAUCCUGACCUGAGAUACAUAAAUGUCCGAGAGAUAUACACAAAUAUAUUUGCCUCUGUUCCAAUCAUGUAAGCUGCAGACACAACUGCUCCUUCAUCCUAAAUACUUGAGCACACAUUCCCCAAGAUCAACUCUACUACUAACUUAAUGCAAUGAUCCCAACCAAAAAGUUAAAGCUGUUACAACACCACUGCUUAAUCCAAAGUCCACAUUCCAGUAUCACCAGUCGUCC